GUUUCCAUAGUGUAGUGGUUAUCACGUUAAGCCUCAUUGCGAAAAGGUCCCCAGUUCGAAACUGGGUGGAAACA
rnacentral:tRNA from 1 species